rnacentral:tRNA from 1 species
GAUUUCGCGGCGUAGUGGAUAAGGCGUUGGUCUUCGGAAUUAAAGAUUGUGGGUUCGGGUCCCUCCGAGAUCG